UGUCAAGCAUGUUCUGUUCGUUACCUCCAUCUUCGAUGUAGAUUAGGGUUCAAAUCGGUUUAGUCUCCUCUGAGAAACAGAAAUAGCCUUUUCAGUUUCCAUGGAGCAAUGAAUCUUCUACUAACUCUACAUCUCCCCAUCUUAACUUUCUCGACCAUUAAUGCCUUCAUCUCAAUUAUAGUCUUUGCCGUCAGAGUUAAUCUAGAUGAAAAGGAUUUCAUGAAUCACGGGUUCAUCUGGUUGCUGGUUUGAUUGUGAAAGUCGACCGUGAAGGAAAACCAGUCUGAUAGUUAUGAUUAUCAGAUUACCUUCUAUAUAUUUUAAAUUUUACACACUGAAGUUUGAAUCAUUAUAAUUUCUGCAGGGAACCUCUAUCUGAAUUCCACACCAGCUACCAAAUUCUAUUUUGACACUACCCUUACUGAAGUGAAAGAGUUAACAACCAAAUAAGUUAUUCCUCGGCUCAAAUAAAGUGAUGCUGGUUGCUUUUUGCCGUUCUGCUUAUGAUGAAAUUUGUCCUGCCGCCUUGUAAGCCUCCAAGGUUGUGUACUCUGUUUCUUAAAAUAGUUGUUUUAUA